UACGUAGGUGGCAAGCGUUGUCCGGAUUUACUGGGCGUAAAGAGCGCGCAGGCGGUCGGCCAAGUCGAGUGUGAAAGCCCCCGGCUCAACUGGGGAGGGUCAUUCGAUACUGGUCGACUCGAAGGCAGGAGAGGGAAGCGGAAUUCCCGGUGUAGUGGUGAAAUGCGUAGAUAUCGGGAGGAACACCUGUGGCGAAAGCGGCUCACUGGACCACAACUGACGCUGAGGCGCGAAAGCUAGGGGAGCAAACAGG
rnacentral:rRNA from 1 species